rnacentral:rRNA from 1 species
CAUUAUAAAUAUUUAGCUUGCCUUGGCUUUCAUAAGCCCUGGCUUGCGAAUCCAUUGUAUUUAAAACCCACUCUUUUAAUAUGAAUCAUAUUUUUAUGUUAAAAAUAAUUUAAAGAUCACUUUCAACAACGGAUCUCUUGGCUCUCGCAUCGAUGAAGAACGUAGCUAAGUGCGAUAAGUAAUGUGAAUUGCAGAAUUCCGUGAAUCAUCGAAUCUUUGAACGCAAAUUGCACUUCCUGGUACUCCGGGAAGUAUGCCUGUUUGAGGGUCAGUAUAAUAACAAUCGAGAGUGUUGCUUCUUUUUUUAUUUGGUUUCACUUUCGGAAUUGAGUUACCUUAACCCCAUGGGUUUAAGUGACUUAAAAUUAAAAUUUCAUACGUAUUUUAGGCGUGAUUAGAAUUUUCUAUGCGUCUCGAAUACUGGGAUGUUUUUAUUAGGCAUGACCAUCGUCAUCAUAAUGGUAAACGUGCCUAUAAUUUAUUUUUGAAAAUGACCUCAAAUCAGGUAAGAAUACCCGCUGAACUUAAGCAUAUC